rnacentral:rRNA from 1 species
UACGAAGGGGGCUAGCGUUGCUCGGAAUCACUGGGCGUAAAGGGUGCGUAGGCGGGUCUUUAAGUCAGGGGUGAAAUCCUGGAGCUCAACUCCAGAACUGCCUUUGAUACUGAGGAUCUUGAGUUCGGGAGAGGUGAGUGGAACUGCGAGUGUAGAGGUGAAAUUCGUAGAUAUUCGCAAGAACACCAGUGGCGAAGGCGGCUCACUGGCCCGAUACUGACGCUGAGGCACGGAAAGCGUGGGGAGCCAAACAG